GACGGAGGGGGCAAGCGUUGUCCGGACUCACUGGGCGUAAAGGGCGCGUAGGCGGUGUGUCAAGUCAGGCGUGAAAGCCCCGGGCUCAACCUGGGAACCGCGCUUGAGACUGGCACGCUCGAGUUCGGGAGAGGAUGGUGGAAUUCCCAGUGUAGAGGUGAAAUUCGUAGAUAUUGGGAAGAACACCGAUGGCGAAGGCAGCCAUCUGGACCGACACUGACGCUGAGGUGCGAAAGCGUGGGGAGCAAACAGG
rnacentral:rRNA from 1 species